ensembl:lncRNA
CAGCACACAGGACACUGCUGCUAACAAGAGCGUAGGCCUGAAUGCCAGGAACAUGGACUCGCGACAUUCAUUUGCAAAAAGGCAAACAUGGAGGUUUUCGCAUCCAGAAAAUGCUGCAGCUUCUACCAGCACCUUGGUAACAUCUAACAGCAAGGAGCGCAAUGUGUAAUGCCUACUCAAGAUAAGAAGCCACAACCCUGAAAAGGAAUUCUCUGAAUACGAAUCCCACUGUUCUCCUGGCAGCCCUGCCCUGGCUUUGCAGCAACAAGAGCACCAAGCAGCUCAGCCAUGACACCAACUACACUUUGCCAAAGUGGUAGAAAAAGAGUUAGAGAAGCAAGCAGGAGCAGGCUGUGGACAGCCCACGUCUGCUGCAGCACAAGUGUAAGAAAAGAAUAUGAUUUGGACUACUGUAAGCCUUUCACCAUCUCCCUCAAGGAAACUGCUGAAGAUAAAAUUACAAAUGCAAUAUGUAUAGGUGAAGGCCCUCACUUCUCGCACUUAAUAAAGAUCAUCACUAUUGAUUUCCCAUAUGGCCAUAUUAAAUGGAUGAAGAAAGAAAACUAAACUGGCAAUCAGAAAGCAAUCAGUGGAGAUCCCAGAGAAAAAAUUGAGAAGCAACUGGGUAAGGGGAAAUGCAGAGUACAACUUGGACAGGAAUGCAAGAAAAGGAAAAAAAAAAUAAAGCAAAACCACAUUAAAGCAUAACAUGGAGAAAAGAAUAACCUGCUUGCAAACAAAAGUCUACACAGCGUUUGCUGAUGCCAGCUCAAUUUAUGUAUAAUCAAUAUCCCUCUGUUUAAUUCCUCUGUGUUGAAUUCUGUAUACAGCAUUCACUUUUCUUUAGCUAGAAAACUAUUUGAAUAAUAAAACUUCAUCAUCUUUAAAGGGAAAAACAUUUAGAUUAACAUAUUAAACAUUAAAGAUCCAUGCUGAAAAUGUAAAAUGAAUGCGAGAGCUUCUCCCACUCAGCUGGUGUACAGGAGGUGAGAAGAGCAUCUUGCAUGCUAUGAAAGCAAACCAUAAUCUCCAUAAAUCUCAGGAGCUGGGAAUUUGGGUGAAGAGGCAAAGGUCAACAGAACUACUUGUAAGGCAGUCCCUAGCUUAAAAAUUUUGAGAAAAAGAAAAUCUGCUUUGGCCUGCUCACAAAGUAGGAAACGUGGUUAAUUUAAAGAGAUCCUUCUAAACAAAAUGCAACAGAACAGAGAUUUCUUCUCUUCAUCUAGUUUGACAGUGUACUGACGUAAUACAUGCUCUGGUUGAAAGAGGCUGGAGAACUUGGAGUAAAUGCAUAUGAUUCUCUCUAUACUCUUUCUCAUAGAGAAUGAACUUUAAAAAAACAAGUUUUAUGAGCAUGAAACCUCUUGCUCUCAUUCCUGAACAUCAGCAAAGGUUUGCCCCAUUGCAAGUCCAGACAGGGAUGCAAAAAUAGGGAAACAAUAUUUCAGGCUAUCCAUAACCUUACUUACACUGCUAACAGUUUCCAUCUCAGAUUUAUACACUAAUAAAAAGACAGAUUUAAAGAACAAUUAAAUUAAGCAUUGUAGAAGGAAACAAAACUGGCAGGAAAGAAGGAAACUCCAGUGCUGCAAACAACACUACGUAAAACAGCAUUUUGAAGCAUCCUGGAGCUAUUGUCUCAUUUCGUCAUGUGGCCAUGGAAAGCGAAGAGGGAAAAGGACUACACUAACAGUUAUCUGGGGAAGGCAACAUGCUGGAUUUAGUAUGGAGAUGGGGUUCUUGAGCCUCCAUGGUACUGAGUGAAAACAAAAUGACUUUCACAACCACGAGAAUUACCAGAGCAGUGGCUAGUGAGGAGAAAUGGCCCAGCAGCAGCAGGGAGCUUCAGUAGUGGGAAGGCUGAGUAGGCACUGUUCUGCCUAAAGGAAGCUGUAAAAAA